CCCUACGGGGGGCAGCAGUGAGGAAUAUUGGUCAAUGGGCGCGAGCCUGAACCAGCCAAGUCGCGUGAGGGAAGACGGUCCUAUGGAUUGUAAACCUCUUUUGUCGGGGAGCAAAAGACGCCACGUGUGGCGUUCCGAGAGUACCCGAAGAAAAAGCAUCGGCUAACUCCGUGCCAGCAGCCGCGGUAAUACGGAGGAUGCGAGCGUUAUCCGGAUUUAUUGGGUUUAGAGGGUGCGCAGGCGGAAGAUCAAGUCAGCGGUAAAAUUGAGAGGCUCAACCUCUUCGAGCCGUUGAAACUGGCUUU
rnacentral:rRNA from 1 species